CAAAGAGCAGCGAAACCGUAAGGCGGAGCAAAUCUCAAAAAGCAUUCUCAGUUCGGAUUGAGGGCUGCAACCCGCCCUCAUGAAGUCGGAGUUGCUAGUAAUCCCGAAUCAGAAUGUCGGGGUGAAUGCGUUCCCGGGUCUUGUACACACCGCCCGUCACGCCAUGGGAGUCGGGGGUACCCGAAGUCGGUGGGCUAACCGCAAGGAGGCAGCCGCCUAAGGUAAAACCGAUGACUGGGGUGAAGUCGUAACAAGGUAGC
rnacentral:rRNA from 1 species